rnacentral:rRNA from 1 species
AAACGACUGCUAAUACCGAAUACGUUCCACGGGCCGCAUGACCUGUGGAAGAAAGGGUAGCCUCUACCUGUAAGCUAUCGCCUGAAGAGGGGUUUGCGUCUGAUUAGGCAGUUGGUGGGGUAACGGCCCACCAAACCAACGAUCAGUAGCCGGUUUGAGAGGAUGAACGGCCACACUGGAACUGAGACACGGUCCAG